GGGGAUUUAGCUCAGUGGUAGAGUGCUUGCCUAGCAAGCACAAGGCCCUGGGUUCGAUCCUCAGCUCCA
rfam:Rattus norvegicus chromosome 5, whole genome shotgun sequence.